CUUGAGGCGUGGCUUCCGGAGCUAACGCGUUAAGUCGACCGCCUGGGGAGUACGGCCGCAAGGUUAAAACUCAAAUGAAUUGACGGGGGCCCGCACAAGCGGUGGAGCAUGUGGUUUAAUUCGAUGCAACGCGAAGAACCUUACCUGGCCUUGACAUCCAGAGAACUUAGCAGAGAUGCUUUGGUGCCUUCGGGAACUCUGAGACAGGUGCUGCAUGGCUGUCGUCAGCUCGUGUUGUGAAAUGUUGGGUUAAGUCCCGCAACGAGCGCAACCCUUAUCCUUUGUUGCCAGCGGUUCGGUCGGGAACUCAAAGGAGACUGCCGGUGAUAAACCGGAGGAAGGUGGGGAUGACGUCAAGUCAUCAUGGCCCUUACGGCCAGGGCUACACACGUGCUACAAUGGCGCAUACAAAGAGAAGCGACCUCGCGAGAGCAAGCGGACCUCAUAAAGUGCGUCGUAGUCCGGAUUGGAGUCUGCAACUCGACUCCAUGAAGUCGGAAUCGCUAGUAAUCGUAGAUCAGAAUGCUACGGUGAAUACGUUCCCGGGCCUUGUACACACCGCCCGUCACACCAUGGGAGUGGGUUGCAAAAGAAGUAGGUAGCUUAACCUUCGGGAGGGCGCUUAC
rnacentral:rRNA from 1 species